GAUGAACGCUGGCGGCGUGCCUAAUACAUGCAAGUCGAGCGAACGGACGAGAAGCUUGCUUCUCUGAUGUUAGCGGCGGACGGGUGAGUAACACGUGGAUAACCUACCUAUAAGACUGGGAUAACUUCGGGAAACCGGAGCUAAUACCGGAUAAUAUUUUGAACCGCAUGGUUCAAAAGUGAAAGACGGUCUUGCUGUCACUUAUAGAUGGAUCCGCGCUGCAUUAGCUAGUUGGUAAGGUAACGGCUUACCAAGGCAACGAUGCAUAGCCGACCUGAGAGGGUGAUCGGCCACACUGGAACUGAGACACGGUCCAGACUCCUACGGGAGGCAGCAGUAGGGAAUCUUCCGCAAUGGGCGAAAGCCUGACGGAGCAACGCCGCGUGAGUGAUGAAGGUCUUCGGAUCGUAAAACUCUGUUAUUAGGGAAGAACAUAUGUGUAAGUAACUGUGCACAUCUUGACGGUACCUAAUCAGAAAGCCACGGCUAACUACGUGCCAGCAGCCGCGGUAAUACGUAGGUGGCAAGCGUUAUCCGGAAUUAUUGGGCGUAAAGCGCGCGUAGGCGGUUUUUUAAGUCUGAUGUGAAAGCCCACGGCUCAACCGUGGAGGGUCAUUGGAAACUGGAAAACUUGAGUGCAGAAGAGGAAAGUGGAAUUCCAUGUGUAGCGGUGAAAUGCGCAGAGAUAUGGAGGAACACCAGUGGCGAAGGCGACUUUCUGGUCUGUAACUGACGCUGAUGUGCGAAAGCGUGGGGAUCAAACAGGAUUAGAUACCCUGGUAGUCCACGCCGUAAACGAUGAGUGCUAAGUGUUAGGGGGUUUCCGCCCCUUAGUGCUGCAGCUAACGCAUUAAGCACUCCGCCUGGGGAGUACGACCGCAAGGUUGAAACUCAAAGGAAUUGACGGGGACCCGCACAAGCGGUGGAGCAUGUGGUUUAAUUCGAAGCAACGCGAAGAACCUUACCAAAUCUUGACAUCCUUUGACGACUCUAGAGAUAGAGCUUUUCCCUUCGGGGGACAAAGUGACAGGUGGUGCAUGGUUGUCGUCAGCUCGUGUCGUGAGAUGUUGGGUUAAGUCCCGCAACGAGCGCAACCCUUAAGCUUAGUUGCCAUCAUUAAGUUGGGCACUCUAAGUUGACUGCCGGUGACAAACCGGAGGAAGGUGGGGAUGACGUCAAAUCAUCAUGCCCCUUAUGAUUUGGGCUACACACGUGCUACAAUGGACAAUACAAAGGGCAGCGAAACCGCGAGGUCAAGCAAAUCCCAUAAAGUUGUUCUCAGUUCGGAUUGUAGUCUGCAACUCGACUACAUGAAGCUGGAAUCGCUAGUAAUCGUAGAUCAGCAUGCUACGGUGAAUACGUUCCCGGGUCU
rnacentral:rRNA from 1 species